UGCUGGCCUGACACGGUGGCUCACUUAGCCAUCAUCUUGUAUUUAAUAUGUAUAGUAGUACCUCUUCCCUUAUAUAUAUUGAACUCAAAAAGGUUAGGAAAGAGUAGGGACCCUUCUGGGAUGGAAGAAUUUGUGCCAUGUCCUCUAGUUUUCUGGAAAUGUAAUUACUUGAAGUGAUAAACUAGCUCAAGAAUGUUUUCUUAAAAUCACACAUUACAAAAUCCUAGGUUGUAUUAUCUGAAGCCAGCUAGAACAGCAGGCCUUGGGCUGCAUGCCCAGCUAGUAUCUAGAAUUUUUUUUUUUUUUUUUUU
rnacentral:lncRNA from 10 species